CUCUCUAUAUUCAUAUUAUAAUGAAAUUAAGCAUUAAACCUGUAAGGGUCAUUUGAAUGAACUUUCUGUUGUACCUCUAGCUUAUGUAAAUUUUUUUUUUCAGAGUGCAUCUGUGUAAUAUACCUAUGACCAAAAUCAAGAGUUUUUCUACUCUCUCAGCCUGGCCUGGGGCCUGGCUUACCUGCUGAUUGCCUGUCCAACUAGUAUUACCAAUGGAGCUUGUAGAAGUUUGAGGCAUUCUGAUGGAUGUAGACGAAUUAAAGUCUUCCACUGGUGUCACUACGUAUAAAGCAGAAGAUCCACCAACAUGGCCUUCAGUACUGGUAGAAGAAGGAAAAGCAUUUACUGAAGGUGUACUUUCCAUAUUUGAGGCAUGAGUGUCUCCAAGCAGGUACCUACCGGCAUUGAUGCUCGUUGGGUUGGCACCCUCCAAAACAACCGAAGGGUUCAUCUGACCCAUCCCCGCAGUCCGCCAACCCGUCGCAGAAUUGGUGCUGGGGGAUACACUGACUGCUGCGGCAAGUAAACUGAGUGUCAGGGUUGGGGCACACUGAAACACACACAGCCACUGUCAGACACUGAGAACUGAGAUCCUCUGCUGAAAGGAUGGUUGAGGAGUGGGAAAGGGGAGGUGAUUGAAGUACAAAGAAAAAAAAGAAAGGACAAAGGUCAGACUUCCCUGCUCACCACCAGCACCUCGCCCACAUGGAUGAAAUACUGACAAGUACGAAGGGGAACUUUUAUUGGGAUAAUGUUUCCCUGUAGAACUACGAUAAAAGUUCUUUACAGCACGAAACAUCACUGAAUGCUUAUUCUGGAACUUUCUUCGCCUUACACACAUUGUCUGCCGCCAUAACACCCAAGUCGAACAUAUACCAUUAAAACCAAAGUCAUGAAGUACACCCUCCAGAAAAUUAUUUGUUUCCUUCUCAGAGAUUUACCUGAAGACAAUUUCAGGGGAGGGAGUUGGGGGGGUGUAAUCGUCCCCGGGCUGGCAUGCUGGAUAUUAACCCGACCAACGAGACAGCUAGGGGUCUGUUGGUAAUUUCCUUUAUGUAUGAAAGGAGAGUGUUGAAAAGACUUAAUCCCUUUACACUUACUGUGUCAUCUCCUAGUGUACUAGGUAUUUUGCACCAUCUGCCAAGCCAUAUCCACGUUCACUUCCACUUUCCUAACCCCAAAAUCUCUCACCGUUCUCAUUCAUCCCUUCCUUAUCCACAAACUCAGCGCUCCCAGAGGCCCAUCAAGGCAGCUCCAACUCCUCCAGUCUUUCCACUCAAACAUGCAGUUGUUAAGCAAGUCGAUGAAUAUUCUAAAUCCCCAAUGUGUCUUCGUCCGUCGAGCUCAACAUAUCUGCUAAAUGAUUCACCUCCCCCACAAACGCUUUUAGUCGCGUAGCCGACGGCCAAUGAAUUAUCUUUACUGGUUACAGGCAGUCCCUCCCCAACACAAAUGCCAACAUACUAAUCUAGUUGAGGUAUACUUUUUAUUUUUGUGUGUAAGUACUGGGGAUUCAAUGUGGCGACUUCACAGAUGCAAAGCACCGCCGUUACCCGUAACGACGGGUACCUCGGAACGAUUUCUGAUCAGAUGGGCUGUAGGGCUUACUUUGGACUCCCUGCUGCUAACACAAAAAGCCUGACUGAUCAUGCUAUCAACUAGGAGGCCUAGUCCGGGACUAACCGCUGGGGCAGCGACUCCCGAAACCAUUAAGAGACAGGCAAAACAACCAGUGACGGCAGCACAGGUGAAGUUGAUUUAUGGAGGCCGGUCAUGUCGCCUCAUUGACUGGUAAAUCACUGCUGCAGAAUUAUCAACACAUACACAAACUCUGAAUAUUCUUCGGUUCUUAAUACAACACCAAAUAUUCAAAGAACCAUCCUCACCUUCAUAUCUCUGUAACUCACAUGCACACACAAUACCCUAUGCCACACAACUAAUGACUGUUGGAGACCACUUACGUCCACCUACAACACAACCUACGUAUCCAGCUGUACAGAAAUGCGCGAAAAUAUUCCCCUUCACCUAACCGCAAGCCUAGGAAAUAAUUGCUUCUCUCCUCCAUACUUCAUGCAGCCAAGAUGCCCAAAACAGAUAACAGCCAUGACUGUGAAUUUGCUUGCGACAUCCAUCUUCGUCUUAUUACCUGAGAUAUUGACCAUGGCCUUACUGAGUGAAGGACAAAUCCAGAAGAAUAUGAACUUUAGACAUUUCCUUGACCCCCAAUCAUAAACCUGUACACUUGAGAUAUAAUAUCCAAACAAAUGUACAAGACUUUAGAUCAGAGACCUUGUGAUGGCUAUACAAGCCAACAAAUCCAGGACAACAACAGCCGGGUUCAUCAUGUGAUCACCUCUCUAAACCUGGCACACAUGUCAUAGAUAAUGUACUUUCAUUUGACAAAAUAAAUCUCUAUACUUGAAGUUCCUUGUAUACAUAUCGUUUUCCAAAUAUAAAGUACGGAACAUAUCAAUUUAACGUACAU